rnacentral:rRNA from 1 species
GACGAACGCUGGCGGCGUGCUUAACACAUGCAAGUCGAACGGAAAGGCCUCUUUCGGGGGGUACUCGAGUGGCGAACGGGUGAGUAACACGUGAGUAACCUGCCCUUGACGUUGGGAUAACUUCAGGAAACUGGGGCUAAUACCGGAUAGGAGCUCCUGCUGCAUGGUGGGGGUGGGAAAGUUUCGGCGGUGGGGGAUGGACUCGCGGCUUAUCAGUUUUUUGGUGGGGUAGUGGCUUACCAAGGCGUUGACGGGUAGCCGGCCUGAGAGGGUGACCGGCCACAUUGGGACUGAGAUACGGCCCAGACUCCUACGGGAGGCAGCAGUGGGGAAUAUUGCACAAUGGGUGGAAGCCUGAUGCAGCAACGACGUGUGCGGGAUGACGGCAUUCGGGUUGUAAACCGCUUUCGCUCAUGACGAAGCUUUGUGUGACGGUAGUGGGUAAAGAAGCACCGGCUAACUACGUG